rnacentral:misc_RNA from 1 species
GAUGAAGAACGUAGCAAAAUGCGAUAAGUAAUGUGAAUUGCAGAAUUCAGUGAAUCAUCGAAUCUUUGAACGCACAUUGCGCCCGCCAGUAUUCUGGCGGGCAUGCCUGUUCGAGCGUCAUUUCAACCCUCAAGCACAGCUUGGUGUUGGGACUCGCGUUAAUUCGCGUUCCCCAAAUUGAUUGGCGGUCACGUCGAGCUUCCAUAGCGUAGUAGUAAAACCCUCGUUACUGGUAAUCGUCGCGGCCAUGCCGUUAAACCCCAACUUCUGAAUGUUGACCUCGGAUCAGGUAGGAAUACCCGCUGAACUUAAGCAUAUCAAUAAGCGGAGGA